UACAGAGGUCCCAAGCGUUAUCCGGAAUGAUUGGGCGUAAAGCGUCCGCAGGUGGCUGUGUAAGUCUGCUGUUAAAGAGUGAGGCUCAACCUCAUAAAGGCAGUGGAAACUACAUGGCUAGAGUGCGUUCGGGGCAGAGGGAAUUCCUGGUGUAGCGGUGAAAUGCGUAGAGAUCAGGAAGAACACCGGUGGCGAAAGCGCUCUGCUAGGCCGCAACUGACACUGAGGGACGAAAGCUAGGGGAGCGAAUGGG
rnacentral:rRNA from 1 species